GAAUGUUUAAACUGCAAAUAUGUUUUAUAAUACUGUAAUAUACGAAUGUAAGAAAAUAAGAUUCUGUUUUAUUUUGUUUUGAAGUUUCAUUUUUAACUUCUGUAUUGUGUUAACUUGAUUGGUGUCAGAUGACAUCUUUGGGUAUGCCGAAAAGGGAGGAUCCUCCGACCAGACGGAUGUUAUGUCUGGCGGGCUAACGCCCCAACGGUUGUUGUCGGGAUCUUGUAUAUAUACUUAAUUACUUUGAAAACUCUGAUAGCGCGAUGUAACAUACGUCAGUUUUUCUCUAAUUACGUAGUUUCGUAGUCGUUCGUAUUUCGCGUGAUAGAUGUCGCCACAUCACUCCCCUCCGAGACCGGAGGUCGAUAGUAGGUUAAGUCGUCCAUUCAUCUUGUGAUGCUUGCCGGGCCAGUGGAAUGUUCCAGUGAGUCGGAACUAGAUGCCGCAUAGUUCACGGUGAGUCGGAACUGUCUGCGGUGAUGCUGCAUAUGCUCCAGUGAGUCGGAGUGGUGCAGUACUGCGUAGUGGCUGCUGCUGCGUCGACCAGGAGAGAAGUGCGUCUCUGCUUGCUGACCGGCCGAAGUGCAGUGUGCUGUGCCAAAGUCGCUGAGAAGGCUGUGGGCGAUGACCAGGAAUGCGCGUCCGCUGCAUGCUGGUGGUCAGGAUACCCGUAGUAGCCGUAUAUGCUGGCUGGCUGAAGCCGUAGAUGCUGGAUGCUUCUCGCUGCUCGAAAGCUUGAGGAAGUGAUGAUGACGAUGAAGGCUGCGCUGAUAUUCAUGCUCGGGGUCACCAGUUUGGGUGAUGGUAUAGUUUGAAUCACGUCGGGGUCAC
rnacentral:misc_RNA from 1 species